rnacentral:pre_miRNA from 1 species
CGUGUACUCCCUCCAUCCGAAAAUACUUGUCGAAGAAAUGGAUGUAUCUAGACUUAUUUUAGUUCUAGAUUCAUCCAUUUUUAUCCAUUUCAUCGACAAGUAUUUCCGGACGGAGGGAGUAUUAU